rnacentral:tRNA from 1 species
GGAGAGGUGUCCGAGCGGUCGAAGGAGCACGCCUGGAAAGUGUGUGUACCCUAACCGGUACCGAGGGUUCGAAUCCCUCCCUCUCCGCCA